rnacentral:rRNA from 1 species
UUCUUGUGUAUUUUAGUGGCGGACGGGCGAGUAACGCGUGAGCAACCUGCCCUUCAGAGGGGAACAACAGUUGGAAACGACUGCUAAUUCCGCAUAACGUGCCUUGAGGGCAUCCUCGAGGCACCAAAGAUUUAUCGCUGAAGGAUGGGCUCGCGUCCGAUUAGCUAGAUGGUGGGGUAACGGCCUACCAUGGCGACGAUCGGUAGCCGAACUGAGAGGUUGAUCGGCCGCAUUGGGACUGAGACACGGCCCAGACUCCUACGGGAGGCAGCAGUGGGGGAUAUUGCACAAUGGAGGGAACUCUGAUGCAGCAACGCCGCGUGAGGGAAGAAGGUCUUCGGAUUGUAAACCUAAGUUAUCAGGGACGAUUAUGACGGUACCUGAAGAGAAAGCUCCGGCUAACUACGUGCCAGCAGCCGCGGUAAUACGUAGGGAGCGAGCGUUGUCCGGAUUUACUGGGUGUAAAGGGUGCGUAGGCGGGCUGGCAAGUCGGGCGUGAAAUCCCGGGGCUUAACUCCCGGGCUGCGCUUGAAACUGUCGGUCUUGAGUGAGGUAGAGGCAAGCGGAAUUCCUAGUGUAGCGGUGAAAUGCGUAGAUAUCAGGAGGAACACCGAUGGCGAAGGCAGGUCUCUGGGCUGUAACUGACGCUGAGGAGCGAAAGCAUGGGGAGCGAACAGGAUUAGAUACCCUGGUAGUCCAUGCCGUAAACGUUGGGCACUAGGUGUGGGGGACAUUCCACGUUUUCCGCGCCGUAGCUAACGCAUUAAGUGCCCCGCCUGGGGAGUACGGCCGCAAGGCUAAAACUCAAAGGAAUUGACGGGGGCCCGCACAAGCGGCGGAGCAUGCGGAUUAAUUCGAUGCAACGCGAAGAACCUUACCAAGGCUUGACAUGAACCGGAAAGGCCUGGAAACAGGUCCCCCACUUGUGGCCGGUUUACAGGUGGUGCAUGGUUGUCGUCAGCUCGUGUCGUGAGAUGUUGGGUUAAGUCCCGCAACGAGCGCAACCCUCGUUCUAUGUUGCCAGCGGGUUAUGCCGGGGACUCAUAGGAGACUGCCGGGGUCAACUCGGAGGAAGGUGGGGACGACGUCAAAUCAUCAUGCCCCUUAUGUCUUGGGCUUCACGCAUGCUACAAUGGCCGGUACAAAGGGUUGCGAUACUGUGAGGUGGAGCUAAUCCCAAAAAGCCGGUCUCAGUUCGGAUUGAGGUCUGCAACUCGACCUCAUGAAGUUGGAGUCGCUAGUAAUCGCAGAUCAGCAACGCUGCGGUGAAUACGUUCCCGGGCCUUGUACACACCGCCCGUCA